CUGGAGACUGACUUGACGAUGCUUCGUACACGAACAGAGCCUGACCGCCCCCUAGAGGAGCUGGGCCAGUAUGCCAGGCUCUGCCCUGAACUUCACUACGACUUUCAGGAUCUGGAUUCAGACCCAGACAGAGAGGAGAGCUCUGAUGAGGAUGGCUUCCUGUAUGGUGACGCUGGUCCAGGCCCAAGAUUCUUCUCUGGGGUAGACGAGAGGACCAGCGGUUCCCUGGCUCUGAGAACCAGGGAGACCCUGGAGUGGAGGGGAGUGUCCUUUGUCAGGCAGGCAGUGUGGGGGUCCAGAACCCCAGCUCAACCCCAGAGAGUUCCACAGCCAGUACCUGAGCAGUAGGAGAGCCGGACACAAGAUCCCCAGUAUGAUUGAGCGGCUGCUGAAGAAGCACAGAGGCUGUAUCCCCGGCCACGAUCCCCAGGUCUACACCACCACAGCUGCCAACACCAAAUCCAUCUCCGGGUACUCCGUCCUCGCCUUCCCGGACUUUUGGGGGCACCUCCCGCCACCCUACCAGCAACCAAUCGCACAGCGUAGACAGGGAGUGCAGAGAUAAGGGCUGCUUUAUUCAUGCCAUUUAUUGGUAUUAUGAUUGACCUGCAAUUUGAGUGAAUGCAAAUUUUAGGCAAGAGCUUUAUUUGUAUAUUACACCUGCAGAUACUGUUUGCUACAAUAAUUUCAGAGCUGUCUCGCUCUUGGCCAGCACAGUGUUGAGUGCUAGUCUCUGCCCAGGGCUGAGCACAGCUACUCUUUAGCAGGACGUGUCAGCAUAUUGUGGUGCCGUCAUUAUUCAUAAAGGACCGUACUGCGGCAGAGCGUGUGACAAUGAAACUGCGUGAUUGAGGGCAACAAAAAGCUACCAAAGACAUUUUCAUUUCCUUUCCUUCACCAGUUGAUUUAUUUGUUCCCUCUUUGUGGCAUCUUGGACUGCUGAUCUUAGAUCAGAAUCGCUGAGUAGAUACUUAUCAUUUCAUUAAGGAGCAUUGAUGAGUGUUUGCCUUGACCAUGGGGCAAUUCACUGGGAACUAGUUACUGUGCUGUUCUGUCAGCAGCAGAAUAUCACCUAUAAACAAGACAGAGUCCUGAAAGCCUUCUCUCAGACUGCAGGUGGGAGCCAGGUCCUGAAAGGGUGCUUUAUUAAAUUGGAUGAUAUUACAGGAGAGGGGAGAGUGAACUGCAGAUGGGUAAACUACAUUAACGCCCCUGAAUAGCAGAAAGAUACUGGAGUGUGCCAUUCUUCUAGUCAUCCCUGCUCCAUUCGAUUGUGUUGUGUGCAGAGUCAAGGCUCUUACACCAUGCUUACGGGUUCAGAUGUGCUUUGUGUUGUAAACUGAAUGAUACAGUGACUUGCAGAGAGCUGUUUUUGGAUCUGUGGACUGAAACAACAUAGUCCAGCACAGAGGCAAACCUGCAAGAGCAAACAACACAGUCCAGCACAGAGGCAAACCUGCAAGAGUAAACAAUACAGUCCAGCACAGAGGCAAACCUGCAAGAGCAAACAAUACAGUCCAGCACAGAGGCAAACCUGCAAGAGCAAACAAUACAGUCCAGCACAGAGGCAAACCUGCAAGAGCAAACGACACAGUCCAGCACAGAGGCAAACCUGCAAGAGCAAAGGACACAGUCCAGCACAGAGGCAAACCUGUAUUUGAUUCGAGUGGAGCUUGUUACACAGCAAUGGAUUCUAGCAGCUGGCUGUGAAAUAAUCGACGCAUGACAACGCACUGCUUAAAAGGAGAGGGGCACUAUAGAACUUCUCAACUGGCUUUGAUUGUGUGCUCCUUGUAUCUUCUGUCUGAUCUGUGGAAAG